UACGUAGGGGGCAAGCGUUAUCCGGAUUUACUGGGUGUAAAGGGAGCGUAGACGGUGAUGCAAGUCAGAAGUGAAAGCCCGGGGCUCAACUCCGGGACUGCUUUUGAAACUGUUGAACUAGAUUGCAGGAGAGGUAAGUGGAAUUCCUAGUGUAGCGGUGAAAUGCGUAGAUAUUAGGAGGAACACCGGUGGCGAAGGCGGCCUGCUGGACUGUGACUGACGUUGAGGCCCGAAGGCGUGGGGAGCAAACAGG
rnacentral:rRNA from 1 species